UACGAAGGGUGCAAGCGUUACUCGGAAUCACUGGGCGUAAAGCGUGCGUAGGCGGUUCGUUAAGUCUGCUGUGAAAGCCCUGGGCUCAACCUGGGAACUGCAGUGGAUACUGGCGGACUAGAGUGUGAUAGAGGAUGGUGGAAUUCCCGGUGUAGCGGUGAAAUGCGUAGAGAUCGGGAGGAACACCCAUGGCGAAGGCAGCAAACUGGUCAUCAACUGACGCUGAGGCGCGAAAAGCGUGGGUAGCAAACAGG
rnacentral:rRNA from 1 species